rnacentral:lncRNA from 11 species
AUGCACCUCUUCCCACUACUCUUCCUAAAUUUUACAGCUUCCUACCUUUUCAUGCUACAGAAGUUUAUCAGCAUAAUCACAAAUUAUAAUGGCUGCUUAUGUUUGCAGAAGCAGUUGUGCCACUGUAGAUAUCUAUCGAUAACCUGUAGAAAGAUGGAACUCUACAAACCAAAGACAAAGCACAUAGUUUGUGCUAAUCGUAGGAGCCCUCUCUGUUCCUUCUACUUUGGCCUGAAGAUAUCAGAAAAGAGGGCAAUAUUUGAAACAGAAUCGGGAUGGAUAUUGUGCUGAAUCUCUUAUUUCCUUUCUCAAUGGACUUAACCACACCAUUUGAUGGCUGACUACUACAAAAGAAAAUAACCUAAUUGACUUUUUAAAAGAUGAGUAGUCCCAAGGCAGCUAAUCUGUUCCCUUAUUCUGCAGCAGCUGAACUUGAAAGUGGGUGGAAGAAUUCAAGACAAUCUGAAAGGCAUAUCCAAUCCAGAUGUUUUCAACCUCAGGGAGUAUUAUAAUUGAAUGUCUAGGUACCAGUGUAGACUAAUUUGUAUACAUAAAGCAAUCUGGCUGGAUUGUUCUUUCAACGGAUUGUUUUUCUAGUGUUCAUUUUCCGUGAACUAAGAAACCUGAUGGCACAGGCUCUGACAUCAGGCUUCUUACAUAACUGAAAAUGCACAUUUGGAAAGACAUCUAUUUAAACAAACAAACAAACAAAAAACAAUAUGGUCAAACAUCUUUAUGUAUUUGGAACAUCAGAAAAUUAUAUUUCUUCAUUAAACUGCGCCACAGUGUUAUGUGAUUCUUUCCCAGAAGCCUACUUGAUUUAACCUAAAGAAAUUUAAAUGCUCUGUGAGUCUGAGGCCUGUUUGUGUUGGGAAUUAAGAUACAUUAUACUGGAUCUCUCAAACAGAGUAAUCAACAAAGCAGGAGAUGAACAGAAACCAGUCACAUGCCCACCACCUUCCAUCUUC